rnacentral:misc_RNA from 1 species
AACCUAGCACACCUGCGGUGUGUACCUGCGGAAGGAUCAUUACAGAGUUCGUGCCCUCGCGGGUAGAUCUCCCACCCUUGUGUAUUCUCUACAUCUUGUUGCUUUGGCAGGCCGUUGGUUCGCCAACCACCGGCUCGCGGGCUGGUGCGUGCCUGCCAGAGGACCUCUCAAACUCGGUUUGUCAGUGUCGUCUGAGUACCAUAACAAUCGUUAAAACUUUCAACAAUGGAUCUCAGAUCG